ACAGCAGUCGCCGCGGUAAUACGUAGGUGGCAAGCGUUGUCCGGAUUUAUUGGGCGUAAAGCGAGCGCAGGCGGUCAAUUAAGUCUGAUGUGAAAGCCCCCGGCUCAACCGGGGAGGGUCAUUGGAAACUGGUUGACUUGAGUGCAGAAGAGGAGAGUGGAAUUCCAUGUGUAGCGGUGAAAUGCGUAGAUAUAUGGAGGAACACCAGUGGCGAAGGCGACUCUCUGGUCUGUAACUGACGCUGAGGCUCGAAAGCGUGGGUAGCAAACAGGAUUAGAUACCCCAGUAGUCCCUGUCUCUUAUAC
rnacentral:rRNA from 1 species